UACGGAGGGGUGCGAGCGUUUGUCCGGAAUCACUGGGCGUAAAGGGCGCGUAGGCGGCUGAGGCAGUCGGUGGUGAAAGCUCGUGGCUCAACUGCGAGUCGGCCAUCGAUACUCCUCGGCUCGAGCACUGUAGAGGCAGGUGGAAUUCCGGGUGUAGCGGUGGAAUGCGUAGAGAUCCGGAAGAACACCGGUGGCGAAGGCGGCCUGCUGGGCAGUAGCUGACGGCUGAGGCGCGACAGCGUGGGGGAGCAAAACAGGG
rnacentral:rRNA from 1 species